UACGUAGGGUCCAAGCGUUGUCCGGAUUUAUUGGGCGUAAAGAGCUCGUAGGCGGUUCGGUAAGUCGGAUGUGAAAACUCAGGGCUCAACCCGGAGACGCCAUCCGAUACUGCUGUGACUUGAGUCUGGUAGGGGAACACGGAAUACCUGGUGUAGCGGUGAAAUGCGCAGAUAUCAGGUGGAACACCGAUGGCGAAGGCAGUGUUCUGGGCCAGUACUGACGCUGAGGAGCGAAAGCUAGGGGAGCAAACAGG
rnacentral:rRNA from 1 species